UACUACAUGUAUCAGCUCAGCUCCUCUCUCUCAGAUCCACUUCAAGGAAACACAGAUUUGAAAACUCUCUCCCAUGGUUUUGUCUGAACUGGCUGCCAUUCUGCAGCGCACACUGGAUCCAAUUGCCGGAGUGGGGGAGCCUGAGAGAUGUACUGUCUGUAGGACACGGGUAUACUGAAUACCUGCUUCAAGUCACCUUUCACAUUUUCUCAUUGGAAAAACAACCGUUGGAGAGUCAUCUUGUUACCGUCAGCAAAAGUGGAAACAAAUCAAGACAUUUAGAAUGGCACGGUGGCCAGCAGUUAAUGAUGCCAAUGUUACGCAAGUCAGCUUCGGCAAAGGAAGUUUUCAAGACAGUCUGCUCGCUAGCCAGAAGUCAGGAAAAAUUGAACCUAUUCUUUCCAUCUCAGCUGCUCCUUAAAUCAAUGCAACUCCUCCACAUUAAUGUGAAUUGAAACAUGCAUUGCCUUUCAACUUAA